CAUGCAAGUCGAACGCUCCGCAAGGGGAGUGGCGCACGGGUGAGUAACGCGUGGGAACCUGCCCAGGGGUGGGGGAUAACCGGUGGAAACGCCGGCUAAUACCGCAUACGUCCUAUGGGAGAAAGAUUUAUCGCCCUUGGAGGGGCCCGCGUCGGAUUAGCUAGUUGGCGGGGUAACGGCCCACCAAGGCGACGAUCCGUAGCUGGUCUGAGAGGAUGAUCAGCCACACUGGGACUGAGACACGGCCCAGACUCCUACGGGAGGCAGCAGUGGGGAGUAUUGGACAAUGGGGGCAACCCUGAUCCAGCAAUGCCGCGUGAGUGAUGAAGGCCUUAGGGUUGUAAAGCUCUUUCGGCGGGGACGAUGAUGACGGUACCCGCAGAAGAAGCCCCGGCUAACUUCGUGCCAGCAGCCGCGGUAAUACGAAGGGGGCAAGCGUUGUUCGGAUUUACUGGGCGUAAAGGGCGCGCAGGCGGCCCCUCAAGUCAGAUGUGAAAGCCCCGGGCUCAACCUGGGAACUGCAUUUGAGACUGAAGGGCUCGAGUUCGGGAGAGGAUGGCGGAAUUCCCAGUGUAGAGGUGAAAUUCGUAGAUAUUGGGAAGAACACCGGUGGCGAANGCGGCCAUCUGGACCGAGACUGACGCUGA
rnacentral:rRNA from 1 species